CUCAGAUCAUGUAAGAUUUUAAUGAUCGAACAGAUCAAAAUUUUAAACUUUUGCAUUUAAAUUUUAUCUUAAUCCAACAUCGAGGUCGCAAACUUUUUUUUUUAUUUGAACUAAAAAAAAAUAUUACGCUGUUAUCCCUAAGGUAAUUUUUUCUUAUAAUCAUUAUUAAUGGAUCAUUUAAUCAUUUAUUUAUGUUUAAUUUUUAAAAAAAGUUUAUCAUAUUUUUCUAUCACCCCAAUAAAAUAAAUAAUUUUAUUUUAAUAAAAAAUUUAAUAUAAUUUUAAAAUAAAAAUAAAUAUAAAACUCUAUAGGGUCUUCUCGUCUUUUAAAAUUAUUUUAGCUUUUUAACUAAAAAAUAAAUUUCUAAAAAUAAAUAAGAGACAGUCUAUAUUUCAUCAAAUCUUUCAUACAAGUUUCCAAUUAAAAAACUAUUGAUUAUGCUACCUUUGUACAGUCAUUAUACUGCAGCCCUUUAAUAAUUAUCAGUGGGCAGAUUAGACUUUAAAUUAUUUUCAAAAAGACAUGUUUUUG
rnacentral:rRNA from 1 species